rnacentral:lncRNA from 1 species
AAAAACCAUUUACCAGUCUCAUUCUGUUUCCCAACAGUGCAUGGGCACUAGGGUGAAUGAAGUCAGCCCUUUAUAACUUUCCCAGCAUAAAUCACUCCCCAUUGUUGGCGAGAGGCUAUUUGCAAAGCUGCUUAAGAGCCAUAUACCCAUGACAUCAUUCCGAUGCCCUCCACACUGCACCAGGGGCUGCGUGAAAAGCCGGGCCAUCCUCAAAAGCAAGAGCUGCGAUUGCCACUCACUGCUGUGCUAACUGAGUCUGAAUGGUAUUAAAUGAGAUGGGAUCCGUCCAAGUCAGAGAGCCAAAACCCAAGCCACCUACCCAAGCAGGGCUGUUUCCUCUCUUGCUCCAUGAGCUGUGGAGCAGCUCCCAGUGUGGAGCUUCUGUUGAUUUCAAAGGCCAUUUUGGCCUUGAAUCAGCUCCCCCUGGGUCCCGAGCAAGCUGAGAAAUGGGGCCCCACAAGAAAAGCUGUCGGAAGCCAAGGUCAGCUGCUCCUGCUCCCCGUUCCCUCCGUGAAGGCUGACAAGGAAUGGGGCAGGCUAAAUGACGGAUCCAGCCUUUGGUGUGGGGGAGAUCUCCCUCUGGAGUAGCCAACUGUCUCUAAUUGUAUGUCAUCCCCAGAAAUAUGGCCUUGAGAAGGCAGGGAGCUCGGGCCAGCGGUGCGGUGCCGUGCCUGGGAGCCAGGGUUUCCUGGGCUCGGAAGCCCUUCUUCAAAGGGUUGGCGAGGCCAACUGGAGCCACAGACUGCUGGAUCUUCCUUCUGCCCCUGCAUCGAGCCAUCCGGGAAGGGCUGUGCCAUUUGUCACCGUGCCCUCAAUCGAGAGCACGGCGCGGUGAAUGGAAAGGCGGCGUCAGAAUCAGGAAGACCCGAGUGCGAGACACCUCUCUGACACAUAGUGGCUGUGUGAUGGGACCCUGGGAAAAUUCGUUAACCGUUCCUAGUCUCCUACGACUGUCUCCGAUUUUAAUCUGCAUCGAUAGAAAGGAUUUCUUUAAAGGAAGUUCCUAGUGUUAGUGAAAUUGGCCAGGGACUUUUGCCUUCUUUUAAAAAUCCCCAGCACUUAUCCCAGUGCCUGGUAUAUAUAAUAGGUGAUUAAUAAAUAUUUAUGGAUUAAUUGAUUAAAAAAAAGC